rnacentral:rRNA from 1 species
UGGGGAAUUUUGGACAAUGGGCGCAAGCCUGAUCCAGCCAUGCCGCGUGCGGGAAGAAGGCCUUCGGGUUGUAAACCGCUUUUGUCAGGGGAGAAAUCUUCUGAGUUAAUACCUCGGGAGGAUGACGGUACCUGAAGAAUAAGCACCGGCUAACUACGUGCCAGCAGCCGCGGUAAUACGUAGGGUGCAAGCGUUAAUCGGAAUUACUGGGCGUAAAGCGUGCGCAGGCGGUUUUGUAAGACAGAGGUGAAAUCCCCGGGCUCAACCUGGGAACUGCCUUUGUGACUGCAAGGCUUGAGUGCGGCAGAGGGGGAUGGAAUUCCGCGUGUAGCAGUGAAAUGCGUAGAUAUGCGGAGGAACACCGAUGGCGAAGGCAAUCCCCUGGGCCUGCACUGACGCUCAUGCACGAAAGCGUGGGGAGCAAACAGGAUUAGAUACCCUGGUAGUCCACGCCCUAAACGAUGUCAACUGGUUGUUGGGAAGGUUCCUUCUCAGUAACGUAGCUAACGCGUGAAGUUGACCGCCUGGGGAGUACGGCCGC